rnacentral:rRNA from 1 species
AGCAGUAGGGAAUCUUCCACAAUGGGCGAAAGCCUGAUGGAGCAAUGCCGCGUGAGUGAAGAAGGUCUUCGGAUCGUAAAGCUCUGUUAUCGGAGAAGAACACGGAGUACAGUAACUGGUAUUCCGCUGACGGUAUCCGACCAGAAAGUCACGGCUAACUACGUGCCAGCAGCCGCGGUAAUACGUAGGUGACAAGCGUUGUCCGGAUUUAUUGGGCGUAAAGCGAGCGCAGGCGGUCUUUUAAGUCUGAUGUGAAAGCCCACGGCUCAACCGUGGAUGGUCAUUGGAAACUGGAAGACUUGAAUGCAGAAGAGGAAAGUGGAAUUCCAUGUGUAGCGGUGGAAUA